rnacentral:rRNA from 1 species
ACUCCUACGGGAGGCAGCAGUGAGGGAUAUUGCACAAUGGGGGAAACCCUGAUGCAGCGACGCCGCGUGGGUGAUGAAGGCCUUCGGGUCGUAAAACCCUUUUCCAGGUGACGAGCGAGGACGGUAGCCUGGGAAUAAGUCUCGGCUAACUACGUGCCAGCAGCCGCGGUAAU